GGGAAACUGGCUUAGUGGUAGAGUGCUUGCCUUGCAUGUAUGAGGGCCUGAGUUCGAUCCUUAGUACCA
rnacentral:tRNA from 1 species